GACACCUCCUCAAUAAAAGCUCAUGCUGAAAAGGCCAUGACAGACUUGAACACUGCAGGAGAGGAGAGAGCAUCUCUGAAUUAGCUGAGUGAAGUUAAACUCCUUUUAAUAUUGAUUCUUUCAGAAUCGAAGGAAAAAUGAUUGGACAUAAAAUGCUUCUGCUACUUUUGAUUAUUAGUUUGGGGAGCUGUCAAACUACAACUCCUGCAACAACCACUGCUGUCCCAGCAACAACCACAACAGUGCCAACAUCCACAGAUGCUCCUACAACAACCACAGCUGUCCCAGUGCCAACAUCCACAGUGCCAACAUCCACAGUGCCAACA